rnacentral:rRNA from 1 species
CAAUAGCGUAUAUUAAAGUUGUUGCAGUUAAAAAGCUCGUAGUUGAACCUUGGGCCUGGCUGGCCGGUCUGCCUCACCGCAUGCACUGGUCCGGCCGGGCCUUUCCCUCUGGGGAUCCGCAUGCCCUUCACUGGGUGUGUCGGGGAACCAGGACUUUUACUGUGAAAAAAUUAGAGUGUUCAAAGCAGGCCUAUGCUCGAAUACAUUAGCAUGGAAUAAUAGAAUAGGACGUUGCGGUUCUAUUUUGUUGGUUUCUAGGACCGCCGUAAUGAUUAAUAGGGACAGUCGGGGGCGUCAGUAUUCAAUCGUCAGAGGUGAAAUUCUUAGAUCGUUGAAAGAUGAGCUUAGGCGAAAGCAUUUACCAUGGAUGUUUUCAUUAA